GACGAACGCUGGCGGCAUGCCUAACACAUGCAAGUCGAACGGAGAUUAUUUCGGUAAUCUUAGUGGCGAACGGGUGAGUACCGCGUGGGCAACCUGCCCUCUAGAUGGGGACAACAUCCCGAAAGGGGUGCUAAUACCGAAUGUGACAGCAAUCUCGCAUGAGGAUGCUGUGAAAGAUGGCCUCUAUUUAUAAGCUAUCGCUAGAGGAUGGGCCUGCGUCUGAUUAGCUAGUUGGUGGGGUAACGGCCUACCAAGGCGAUGAUCAGUAGCCGGUCUGAGAGGAUGAACGGCCACAUUGGGACUGAGACACGGCCCAGACUCCUACGGGAGGCAGCAGUGGGGAAUCUUCCGCAAUGGGCGAAAGCCUGACGGAGCAAUGCCGCGUGAGUGAUGAAGGAAUUCGUGCCGUAAAGCCCUUUUGCUUAUGACGAAUGUGCAGAUUGUGAACAAUGAUCUGUAAUGACGGUAGUAAACGAAUAAGCCACGGCUAACUACGUG
rnacentral:rRNA from 1 species